rnacentral:sRNA from 1 species
UAACAAGGCCACACCCACUCCAACAAGACCACACCCACUCCAACAAUGCCACACCUCCAAAUAGUGCCACUCCCGGGGCUGAGCAUAUUUAAAACACCACAUUCCUCAUGUAGGGGUGGGACCUUGAAAGCCCUUUCUCUCUCCACUCCAGACUGUUGACUGACUGGAUCUUGUGCAGUUGUUACAGUGGCAACCACUUACAAGUAAAGCUAGUGGAGGAUCAGGGUCCAAGAGGAAGAUAGAUUAUGCAGAUUUUCCUGGUGCCUUUGCUUCAUCAUUGAUGGAUUCCAGGAUGAGUUAGAGCCAGCACAGUCGCAGAGAGGGAAAAGAGAAAGAAAGGGCGCACACCCCACCACCCGACCAUGUCGCAAGUCAGAAGGAAGAGUGCCACGUUUACGGUGAAAUCAAAGCAACCCCAGGUGUGCGUCAUCACACCGCACCUGGAAAUUAUGACAGUUAUGAUGAAUGAGGAUGAUACAGCAAAGCCAGCACCGACAAGAAGACCCUCCCGGGGUGACAACACCUGGAUCUAGAUCUCUUCUCCCUUCACGAUAGACUGCUCACAGGCGUUUUCCUUCUGACUUGCCAAACAGAAGCAACAGCAAUUAAAUGAGUAUAAAAAGACCAGAGGAGUGUGCACGAUUGCUUUGUUCUGUGAGCAGAGGCCCAGCUCUGCCUGGCUUGGCGCCUCACCCUGUGGUAGAACGUGUGUUCUGUGGCCUUCACCGCUCGGCUCGCAUGAAAGCAGUUGGGGGCCACCAACUGCCAGGCCCAUGACACCUUCAUUUCUAACACAUAGUAACAAAUAACCCUUCCAGACUCUCCUUGUGCGUCCCAUUUUAGAGGUGGAGACG